rnacentral:rRNA from 1 species
GAUAAACGCUGGCGGUGUACAUAAGACAUGCAAGUCGAACGGGAGAAGACAGGAAGAUUUAUCUACUUGUUGGACACCGUGGCGGACGGGUGAGUAACACGUAAGCAACCUGCCUAUAAGAGGGGAAUAACAGUGAGAAAUCACUGAUAAUACCGCAUAAGCUGGAGGUAUCGCAUGAUACAUUCAGAAAAGAUUUAUCGCUUAUAGAUGGGCUUGCGUCUGAUUAGCUAGUUGGUGAGAUAACAGCUCACCAAGGCGACGAUCAGUAGCCGGAUUGAGAGGUUGAACGGCCACAUUGGGACUGAGACACGGCCCAGACUCCUACGGGAGGCAGCAGUCGGGAAUAUUGCACAAUGGAGGAAACUCUGAUGCAGUGACACCGCGUAUAGGAAGAAGGUCUUAGGAUUGUAAGCUAUUGUCGUGUGAGAAGAAAAUGACCAUCACAGGAGGAAG